rnacentral:rRNA from 1 species
CCUACGGGGGGCAGCAAUUAGGAAUCUUGCGCAAUGGGGGCAACCCUGACGCAGCGACGCCGCGUGAAGGAUGAAGUGCUUCGGCAUGUAAACUUCUUUUAUUGGGGAAGCGGUACCCAAUGAAUAAGCCCCGGCUAACUACGUGCCAGCAGCCGCGGUAAUACGUAGGGGGCGAGCGUUGUCCGAAUUUACUGGGCGUAAAGAGCCGUAGGCGGGUUGUUAAGUGAGAGGUGAAAGGUUAGGGCUCAACCCGAACAGUGCCUUUCAUACUGGCGACCUUGAGUGUGGGAGAGGCGAGUGGAAUUUCUGGUGUAGCGGUGAAAUGCGUAGAUAUCAGAAGGAACACCCAUGGCGAAGGCAGCUCGCUGGCCACACUGACGCUGGGCGCGAAAGCGUGGGGAGCAAACAGGAUUAGAUACCCUUGUAGUC